rnacentral:tRNA from 1 species
GACGCUAUCUUUGCGAAAACAAACUUGAACGGUCAACGCGCGUCAUGGCCACAAAU